AUUGAACGCUGGCGGCAGGCCUAACACAUGCAAGUCGAACGAGUGGCGGACGGGUGAGUAAUGUCUGGGAAACUGCCUGAUGGAGGGGGAUAACUACUGGAAACGGUAGCUAAUACCGCAUACCAUCAGAUGUGCCCAGAUGGGAUUAGCUUGUUGGUGGGGUAACGGCUCACCAAGGCGACGAUCCCUAGCUGGUCUGAGAGGAUGACCCGGCACACCUGAACUUGGGACAGGGCCCGGCCUCUAACGGGGGGAGGAGGGGGGAAGAAUGGCACAAGGGCGCAAGCCUGAUGCAGCCAUGCCGCGUGUAUGAAGAAGGCCUUCGGGUUGUAAAGUACUUUCAGCGGGGAGGCGUUACCCGCAGAAGAAGCACCGGCUAACUCCGUGCCAGCAGCCGCGGUAAUAC
rnacentral:rRNA from 1 species